GCCCAGUCCUCCAGGCCUACAUAAACAGGAUGUGGGCCACUUACCAGGCAGUUCCAGGGCCGGAAUAACCAAGCUCCAGGGAACAAUCCCUCAGGGAGCCCUGGAGCAGGAGAUGGCCCUCGGGAAGAAGGAGGUCACUGAAGACGCUAAAGCCAGACUUCAUGUCUUUCAUCUCUUCGUCUCUGGCCCCAUUGACUUGGGCAUCCUGCACUUCUUCCUAUAAUAAAAUACCCAUCAAAGAAACCACUUCAGAAGAUUAAAAUCCCAUGAAGUCAAGGACUGCUUGUGUCUUUUAUCUCCAUCUCCUCAGCACCAGGUAUACUGGCUGGUAUAUAACAAGGAUUCCAUAAAAAAUUCUUGCGAAUAGAGUUAUUCACAGAACCAAGUAUAAAAGGUCAUGGUUAUGCAUCAUACAUAAGAAUCUGCAUCCACAAGUCAACAUAACCUCCCAGAAGGUCCCUUCCUUCCUAAAUAGGCUUCU